UUUAUGGAGAGUUUGAUCCUGGCUCAGGAUGAACGCUGGCGGCGUGCCUAAUACAUGCAAGUCGAGCGAACAGACGAGGAGCUUGCUCCUUUGACGUUAGCGGCGGACGGGUGAGUAAC
rnacentral:rRNA from 1 species